rnacentral:rRNA from 1 species
CCUACGGGAGGCAGCAGUGAGGAAUAUUGGUCAAUGGACGAGAGUCUGAACCAGCCAAGUAGCGUGAAGGAUGACUGCCCUAUGGGUUGUAAACUUCUGUUAUAGGGGAAUAAAACGUGCCACGUGGGGGAUUUUGUAUGUACCAUAUGAAUAAGGAUCGGCUAACUCCGUGCCAGCAGCCGCGGUAAUACGGAGGAUCCGAGCGUUAUCCGGAUUUAUUGGGUUUAAAGGGAGCGUAGGGGGAUUGUUAAGUCAGUUGUGACAGUUUGCGGCGCAACCGUAAAAUUGCAGUUGAAACUUGCAGUCUUGCGUCCAGUAGAGGUGGGCGGUCUUCGUUGUGUCGCGGU